GAGGGAAAGGCGAAAAGAACCCCGGCGAGGGGAGUGAAAAAGAACCUGAAACCGUGUACGUACAAGCAGUAGGAGCCCCAUCACUCAAGUGCCUCGCACUGAGUGAUGCAAUAACAUCACCGAAAAUAGCGUAGCAUUUGCUAACAAGGUUGGUCGAUUUUUUCAAGCCGUCGCGCAGUGUACCUAGAAGUACACGAGCAACGGAAGUUAAAAAAUCGGGCAAGAUUGAACGCAAAGGCAAGCGGGACAUUUGAGGAUGGGGUGACUGCGUACCUUUUGUAUAAUGGGUCAGCGACUUAUAUUCUGUAGCAAGGUUAACCG
rnacentral:rRNA from 1 species